rnacentral:rRNA from 1 species
CCUACGGGGGGCAGCAGUGGGGAAUAUUGGGCAAUGGGGGGAACCCUGACCCAGCGACGCCGCGUGAGGGAAGAAGGUUUUCGGAUUGUAAACCUCUGUCCUUGGUGACGAUAAUGACGGUAGCCAAGGAGGAAGCCACGGCUAACUACGUGCAAGCAGCAGCGGCAAUACGCAGGCGGCGAGCGUUGUCCGGAAUUACUGGGUGUAAAGGGAGCGUAGGCGGGAGAGCAAGUGGAUUAUGAAAUCUAUGGGCUUAACCCCUAGCUUGGAUCGACACUAGAGUUCUUG